rnacentral:rRNA from 1 species
CCUACGGGAGGCAGCAGUCGAGAAUCAUUCACAAUGGGGGAAACCCUGAUGGUGCGACGCCGCGUGGGGGAAUGAAGGUCUUCGGAUGGUAAACCCCUGUCAUGUGGGAGCAAAUUAAAAAGAUAGUACCACAAGAGGAAGAGACGGCUAACUCUGUGCCAGCAGCCGCGGUAAUACAGAGGUCUCAAGCGUUGUUCGGAAUCACUGGGCGUAAAGCGUGCGUAGGCUGUUUCGUAAGUCGUGUGUGAAAGGCGCGGGCUCAACCCGCGGACGGCACAUGAUACUGCGAGACUAGAGUAAUGGAGGGGGAACCGGAAUUCUCGGUGUAGCAGUGAAAUGCGUAGAUAUCGAGAGGAACACUCGUGGCGAAGGCGGGUUCCUGGACAUUAACUGACGCUGAGGCACGAAGGCCAGGGGAGCGAAAGGGAUUAGAUACCCCAGUAGUC